GACAGAGGGUGCGAACGUUGUUCGGAAUUACUGGGCGUAAAGCGCGUGUAGGCUGUUCGGAAAGUCGGGUGUGAAAGCCCUGGGCUCAACCUAGGAAGUGCACUCGAAACUCCCGAACUGGAGUCCCGGAGAGGAAGGUGGAAUUCUCGGUGUAGAGGUGAAAUUCGUAGAUAUCGGGAGGAACACCAGUGGCGAAGGCGACUUCCUGGCCUGUUCUUGACGCUGAGGCGCGGAAAGCUAGGGGGAGCAAACGGG
rnacentral:rRNA from 1 species